rnacentral:lncRNA from 1 species
UAAUUUCUAUGUUACAAUCCUAAAUCUACAAUAGUUCUCUAUAUAAAUGAAAAAUUUCCAAAAACAGGAGGUUUUUUAAAAAUUAUUUAAAAAGUGCAACCUAUUGAUAAAUUUUUUGAAAGAAUACUAAUCUAUUAACAAAAAUUCAUGUUAUACUAAUUUCUAAGUCAAACUAUUGAUGAAAUUUUGUGAGAGAAUACUCAUCUAUCAACAAAAUUUUGUGACAGAAUACUAAUUUCUAAGUCACAAUCCCAAAUCUACAAUAGUUCUCUAUAGAAAUAAAAUUUUUCCAAAAAUAGCAGAUUUCGUAAAAAUUAUUGAGAAAAUGCAACCUAUUAAUGAAAAAUUCUGAAAAAUACUCAUCUAUAAAAGAAAAUUCCUGUUAUCCUAAUUUCAAAGUCACAACCCUAAAUCUACAAUAGUCCUCUAUACAAAUGAAAACUUUCCAAAAUUAGCAGUUUUUGUAAAAAUAUAUUGAAAAAUGUAACCCAUUGAUGGAAAAUUAUUAAAGAAUACUCAUCUAUCAAAAAAAAAUCUUGUUAUCCUAAUUUCUAAUUCACAAUCUCAAAUCUACAACAGUUCUCUAUAAAAAUGAAAAAUUUCCAAAAAUAGCAGGUUUUGUAAAAAAUUGUUUUAAAAAUCCAAUCUAUGGAAGAAAAAAUCUGAAAGAACACUUAAAUAUCAACAAAAAUUCUUGUUAUCCUAAUUUAUAAGUGACAAUCCCCAAUUUACAAUAGUUCUCUAUAUAAAUGAAAAUUUCCAAAAAUAUGAGGUUUUUUAAAACUUAUUUAAAAACUGCAACCUAUUGAUGAAAUAUUUUUUAAAAAAAUACUAGGCCCAUCGAUUAACAAAAAUUCUUGUUAUACUAGUUUCUAAGUUACAAUCCUAAAUCUACAAUAGUUCUCUAUGUAAAUGAAAAAUUUCCAAAAACAUGAGCUUUUUUAAAAAUUAUUUAAAACGUACAACGUAUUGAUGAAAUUUUUUGAAAGAAUACUCAUCUAUUAACAAAAAUUCAUGUUAUACUAAUUCCUAAGUCAAACUAUUGAUGAAAUUUAGUGAGAGAAUACUCAUCUAUCAACAAAAUUCUAGUUAUCCUAAUUUCUAAGUCACAAUCCCAAAUCUACAAUAGUUCUAAAUAGAAAUAAAAACUUUCCAAAAAUAGCAGCUUUCGUAAAAACUAUUGAGAAAAUGCAACCUAUUAAUGAAAAAUUCUGAAAAAUACUCAUCUAUCAAAGAAAAAUCUUGUUAUCCUAAUUUCAAAGUCACAAACCCAAAUCUACAAUAGUACUCUAUACAAAUGAAAACUUUCCAAAAAUAGCAGUUUUAUGAAAAAAUAUAUUGAAAAAUGUAAGCCAUUGAUGGAAAAUUAUGAAAGAAUACUCAUCUAUCAAAACAAAUUCUUGUUAUCCUUAUUUCUAAGUCACAAUCUCAAAUCUACAACAGUUCUCUAUAAAAAUAAAAAUUUUCCAAAAAUAGCAGGUUUUGUAAAAAAUUGUUUUAAAAAUGCAAUCUAUGGAAGAAAAAAAUCUGAGAGAAUACUUAAAUAUCAACAAAAAUUCUUGUUAUCCUAAUUUCUAAGUGACAAUCCACAAUCUAAAUUAGUUGUCUAUUUAAAUGAAAACUUUCCAAAAAUAGAAGUUUUAUAAAAAAUUAUUUUAAAAAUGCAACCUACUGAUAAAGUUUUUUGAAAGAAUACUUAUAUAUCAAAGAAAAUUCUUGUUAUACUAAUUUCUAAGUGACAAUCCAAAUCUACAAUAGUUCUCUAUGUAAAUGAAAACUUUCCAAAAAUAAGAGGUUUUGUAAAAAUUAUUUAAAAAAUGCAACCUAUUGAUGAACAAUUAUGAAAGAAUACUCAUCUAUCAACGAAAAUUCUUGUUAUCCUAAUUUUAAAGUCACAACCCAUAGUUCUCUAUGUAAAUGAAAACUUUCCAAAAAUAAGAGGUUUUGUAAAAAUUAUUUAAAAAAUGCAACCUAUUGAUGAACAAUUAUGAAAGAAUACUCAUCUAUCAACGAAAAUUCUUGUUAUCCUAAUUUUAAAGUCACAACCCAUAGUUCUCUAUGUAAAUGAAAACUUUCCAAAAAUAAGAGGUUUUGUAAAAAUUAUUUAAAAAAUGCAACCUAUUGAUGAACAAUUAUGAAAGAAUACUCAUCUAUCAACGAAAAUUCUUGUUAUCCUAAUUUUAAAGUCACAACCCAUAGUUCUCUAUGUAAAUGAAAACUUUCCAAAAAUAAGAGGUUUUGUAAAAAUUAUUUAAAAAAUGCAACCUAUUGAUGAACAAUUAUGAAAGAAUACUCAUCUAUCAACGAAAAUUCUUGUUAUCCUAAUUUUAAAGUCACAACCCAUAGUUCUCUAUGUAAAUGAAAACUUUCCAAAAAUAAGAGGUUUUGUAAAAAUUAUUUAAAAAAUGCAACCUAUUGAUGAACAAUUAUGAAAGAAUACUCAUCUAUCAACGAAAAUUCUUGUUAUCCUAAUUUUAAAGUCACAACCCAUAGUUCUCUAUGUAAAUGAAAACUUUCCAAAAAUAAGAGGUUUUGUAAAAAUUAUUUAAAAAAUGCAACCUAUUGAUGAACAAUUAUGAAAGAAUACUCAUCUAUCAACGAAAAUUCUUGUUAUCCUAAUUUCUAAGCUCAUCUAUUAACAAAAAUUCUUGUUAUAUUAAUUUCUAAGUCAAACUAUUCAUGAAAUUUAGUGAGAAAAUACUCAUCUAUCAAUAAAAUUCUAGUUAUACUAAUUUCUAAGUCACAAUCCCAAAUAUACAAUAGUUCUCUAUAGAAAUAAAAAAAUUCCAAAAAUAACAGUUUUGGUAAAAAUUAUUGAGAAACUGCAACCUAUUAAUGAAAAAUUCUGAAAAAUACUCAUCUAUCAAAGAAAAUUCUUGGUAUCCUAAUUUCAAAGUCAGAACCCCAAAUCUACAAUAGUACUCUAUACAAAUGAACACUUUCCAAAAAUAGCAGUUUUUGUAAAAAUGUAUUGAAAAAUGUAACCCAUUGAUGGAAAAUUAUGAAAGAAUAUUCAUCUAUCAAAAAAAAUUCUUGUUAUCCUUAUUUCUAAGUCACAAUCCCAAAUCUACAACAGUUCUCUAUAAAAAAUGAAAAUUUUCCAAAAAUAGCAGGUUUUGUAAAAAAUUGUUUUAAAAAUGCAACCUAUGGAAGAAAAAAAUCUGAAAAAAUACUUAAAUAUCAACAAAAUCUGAAAGAAUACUCAUAUAUUAAAACAAAUUCUUGUUGUCCUUAUUUCUAAGUCACAAUCCCAAGUCUACAACAGUUCUCUAUACAUAUGAAAACUUUCCAAAAACAUCAGUUGUUGUAAAAAGUAUUUAAGAAAUGGAUUCUAUUGAAGAAAAAUCUGAAAUAAUACUUAUAUAUCAACAAAAAUUCUUGUUAUCCUAAUUUCUAAGUGACAGUCUCACAUCUACAAUAGUUCUCUAUAUAAAUCAAAAUUUCCAAAAAUUAGAGGUUUUUUAAAACUUAUUUAAGAAAUGCAACCUAUUGAUGAAAAAUUCUGAAAAAUAUCCAUCUAUUAACAAAAAUUCUUGUUAUACUAAUUUCUAUGUUACAAUCCUAAAUCUACAAUAGUUCUCUAUAUAAAUGAAAAAUUUCCAAAAACAGGAGGUUUUUUAAAAAUUAUUUAAAAAGUGCAACCUAUUGAUAAAUUUUUUGAAAGAAUACUAAUCUAUUAACAAAAAUUCAUGUUAUACUAAUUUCUAAGACAAACUAUUGAUGAAAUUUUGUGAGAGAAUACUCAUCUAUCAACAAAAUUUUGUGACAGAAUACUAAUUUCUAAGUCACAAUCCCAAAUCUACAAUAGUUCUCUAUAGAAAUAAAAUUUUUCCAAAAAUAGCAGAUUUCGUAAAAAUUAUUGAGAAAAUGCAACCUAUUAAUGAAAAAUUCUGAAAAAUACUCAUCUAUAAAAGAAAAUUCCUGUUAUCCUAAUUUCAAAGUCACAACCCUAAAUCUACAAUAGUCCUCUAUACAAAUGAAAACUUUCCAAAAUUAGCUGUUUUUGUAAAAAUAUAUUGAAAAAUGUAACCCAUUGAUGGAAAAUUAUUAAAGAAUACUCAUCUAUCAAAAAAAAUUCUUGUUAUCCUAAUUUCUAAUUCACAAUAUCAAAUCUACAACAGUUCUCUAUAAAAAUGAAAAAUUUCCAAAAAUAGCAGGUUUUGUAAAAAAUUGUUUUAAAAAUCCAAUCUAUGGAAGAAAAAAUCUGAAAGAACACUUAAAUAUCAACAAAAAUUCUUGUUAUCCUAAUUUAUAAGUGACAAUCCCCAAUUUACAAUAGUUCUCUAUAUAAAUGAAAAUUUCCAAAAAUAUGAGGUUUUUUAAAACUUAUUUAAAAAAUGCAACCUAUUGAUGAAAUAUUUUUUAAAAAAAUACUAGGCCCAUCGAUUAACAAAAAUUCUUGUUAUACUAGUUUCUAAGUUACAAUCCUAAAUCUACAAUAGUUCUCUAUGUAAAUGAAAAAUUUCCAAAAACAUGAGCUUUUUUAAAAAUUAUUUAAAACGUACAACGUAUUGAUGAAAUUUUUUGAAAGAAUACUCAUCUAUUAACAAAAAUUCAUGUUAUACUAAUUCCUAAGUCAAACUAUUGAUGAAAUUUAGUGAGAGAAUACUCAUCUAUCAACAAAAUUCUAGUUAUCCUAAUUUCUAAGUCACAAUCCCAAAUCUACAAUAGUUCUAAAUAGAAAUAAAAACUUUCCAAAAAUAGCAGCUUUCGUAAAAACUAUUGAGAAAAUGCAACCUAUUAAUGAAAAAUUCUGAAAAAUACUCAUCUAUCAAAGAAAAAUCUUGUUAUCCUAAUUUCAAAGUCACAAACCCAAAUCUACAAUAGUACUCUAUACAAAUGAAAACUUUCCAAAAAUAGCAGUUUUAUGAAAAAAUAUAUUGAAAAAUGUAAGCCAUUGAUGGAAAAUUAUGAAAGAAUACUCAUCUAUCAAAACAAAUUCUUGUUAUCCUUAUUUCUAAGUCACAAUCUCAAAUCUACAACAGUUCUCUAUAAAAAUAAAAAUUUUCCAAAAAUAGCAGGUUUUGUAAAAAAUUGUUUUAAAAAUGCAAUCUAUGGAAGAAAAAAAUCUGAGAGAAUACUUAAAUAUCAACAAAAAUUCUUGUUAUCCUAAUUUCUAAGUGACAAUCCACAAUCUAAAUUAGUUGUCUAUUUAAAUGAAAACUUUCCAAAAAUAGAAGUUUUAUAAAAAAUUAUUUUAAAAAUGCAACCUACUGAUAAAGUUUUUUGAAAGAAUACUUAUAUAUCAAAGAAAAUUCUUGUUAUACUAAUUUCUAAGUGACAAUCCAAAUCUACAAUAGUUCUCUAUGUAAAUGAAAACUUUCCAAAAAUAAGAGGUUUUUUAAAAAUUAUUUAAAAAAUGCAACCUAUUGAUGAACAAUUCUGAAAGAAUACUCAUCUAUCAACGAAAAUUCUUGUUAUCCUAAUUUUAAAGUCAUAACCCCAAAUCUAUAAUAGUACUCUAUAAAAAUGAAAACUUUCCAAAAAUAGCAGUUUUUGUAAAUACUAUUGAAAAAUAUAACUUAUUGAUGAAAAAUUCUGAAAGAAUACUCUUCUAUCAAAACAAAUUCUUGCUAUCCUUAUUUCUAAGUCACAAUCCCAAAUCUACAACAGUUCUCUAUAAUAAUGAAAAAUUUCCAAAAAUUAGCAGUAUUUGUAUGAAUUAUUUAAAAAAUGCAAUCUAUAUAGAAGAAAAAAUCUCAAAAAAUACUCAUCUAUCAACAAAAUUCUCGGUAUCCUAAUUUUUAAGUCACAAUCCCAAAUCUACAAUAGUUCUCUAUAGAAAUAAAAACUUUCCAAAAAUAGCAGCUUUCGUAAAAAUUAUUGAGAAAAUGCAACCUAUUAAUGAAAAAUUAUGAAAGAAUACUCAUCUAUUAACAAAAAUUCAUGUUAUACUAAUUUCUAAGUCAAACUAUUGAUGAAAUUUUGUGAGAGAAUACUCAUAUAUCAACAAAAUUCUAGUUAUCCAAAUUUCUAAGUCACAAUCCUAAAUCUACAAUAGUUCUCUAUAGAAAUAAAAACUUUCCAAAAUAGCUGCUUUCGUAAAAAUUAUUGAGAAAAUGCAACAUAUUAAUGAAAAAUUCUGAAAAAUACUAAUCUAUCAAAGAAAAUUCUUGUUUCUAAUUUCAAAGUCACAACCCCAAAUCUACAAUAGUACUCUAUACAAAUGAAAACUUUCCAAAAAUAGCAGUUUUUGUAAAAAUAUAUUGAAAAAUGUAACCCAUUGAUGCAAAAUUAUGAAAGAAUACUCAUCUAUCAAAAAUAAUUAUUCUUAUCCUUAUUUCUAAGUCACAAUCUCAAAUCUACAACAGUUCUCUAUAAAAAUAAAAAAUUUCCAAAAAUAGCACGUUUUGUAAAAAAAUGUUUUAAAAAUGCCGUCUAUUGAAGAAAAAAUCUGAAAGAGUACUUAAAUAUCAACAAAAAUUCUUGUUAUCUUAAUUUUUAAGUAACAAUCCACGAUCUACAGUAGUUCUCUAUUUAAAUAAAAAAUUUCCUAAAAUAUGAGUUUGAUUAAAAAUUAUUUUAAAAAUGCAACCUACUAAUAAAGUUUUUUGAAAGAAUACUUAUAUAUCAACGAAAAUUCUUGUUAUCCUAAUUUGUAAGUGACAAUCUCAAAUCUACAAUAGUUCUCUAUGUAAAUGUAAACUUUCCAAAAAUAAGAGGUUUUUUAAAAAUUAUUUAAAAAAUGCAACCUAUUGAUGAAAAAUUCUGAAAGAAUACUCGUCUAUCAACGAAAAUUCUUGUUAUCCUAAUUUUAAAGUCACAACCCCAAAUCUAUAAUAGUACUCCAUAAAAAUGAAAACUUUCCAAAAACAGCAGUUUUUGUAUAAAUUAUUGACAAAUGUAACCAAUUGAUGGAAAAAUAUGAAAUAAUACUCAUCUAUCAAAACAAAUUCUUGUUAUCCUUAUUUAUAAGCCACAAUCCCAAAUUUACAACAGUUUUCUAUAAAAAUAAAAACUUUUCAAAAAUAGCAGCUUUUGUAAAAAUUAUUUUAAAAAUGAAAAUUUUCCAAAAAUAGCAGUUUUUGUAAAAUUUAUUGAAAAAUGUAACCUAUUGAUGAAAAAUUCUGUAAGAAUACUUUUCUAUCAAAACAAAUUCAUGUUAUCUUUAUUUCUAAGUCACAAUCCCAAUUCUACAACAGUUCUCUAUAAAAAAGAAAACUUUCCAAAAACAUCAGCUUUUGUAAAAACUUAUUAAGAAAUGCAAUCUAUUGAAGAAAAACCUGAAAGAAUAUUUAUAUAUCAACAAAAAUUCUUGUUAUCCUAAUUUCUACGUGACAAUCUCAAAUCUACAAUAGUUCUCUAUGUAAAUGAAACCUUUCCAAAAAUAUGAGGUUUUUUAAAAAAUUAUUUAAGAAAUGCAACCUAUUGAUAAAAAAUUCUGAAAGAAUACUCAUCUAUUAAAAAAAAUUCUUGAUAUACUAAUUUCUAAGUUACAAUCCUAAAUCUACAAUAGUUCUCUAUAAAAAUGAAAACUUUUCAAAAAUAGCAGUUUUUGUAAAAACUAUUGAAAAAUGUAACUAUUUGAUGAAAAAUUAAUAAAAAUACUCAUAUAUCAAAAAAAAUUCUUGUUAUCCUUAUUUGUAAGUCACAAUCCCAAAUCCACAACAGUUUUCUAUAAAAAUGAAAUUUUUCCAAAAAUAGAAGCUUUUGUACAAAUUAUUUAAAAAAUGUAAUCUAUAGUAGAAAAAAUCUGAAAGAAUACUCAUCUAUCAACAAAAAUUCUUUUUAUCCUAAUUUAUAAGUGACAAUCCCAAAUAUACAAUAGUUCUCUAUAUAAAUGAAAACUUUCUAAAAACAUGAGGUUUUUAAAAAAUUAUAAAAAAAUACAACUUAUAAAUGAAAAUUUCUGAAAGAAUACUCAUCUAUUAACAACAAUUCUUGUUAUCCUAAUUUCUAAGUCACUAUCCUAAAUCUAUAAUAGUUCUCUAUAAAAAUGAAAACUCACCAAAAAUAGCAGUUUUUGUAAAAAUUAUUGAAAAAUGUGACUUAUUGAUAAAAAAAUCUGAAAGAAUACUCAUCUAUUAGAACAAAUUCUUGUUAUCCUUAUUUCUAAGUCACAAUCCAAAUCUACAACAGUUCUCUAUAAAAAUGAAAAGUUUUCAAAAACAUCAACUGUUGUAAAAAAUAUUUAAGAAUUGCAUUCUAUUGAAGAAAAAUCUGAAAGAAUACUUAUAUAUCAACAAAAAUUCUAUUAUUCUAAUUUCUAAGUGACAACCCCAAAUCUACAAAAGUUCUCUGUGUAAAUGAAAAUUUCCAAAAAUUUGAGGCUUUUUAAAACUUAUUUAAAAAAUGCAACAUAUUGAUGAAAAAUUCUGAAAACAAUACCCAUCUAUUAACAAAAAUUCUUGUUAUACUAAUUUCUAAGUCAAACUAUUGAUGAAAUUUAGUGAGAAAAUACUCAUCUAUAAAAACAAAUUCUUGUUAUCCUUAUUUCUAAGUCACAAUCCCAAAUCUACAACAGUUCUCUAUAAAAAUAAAAAAAUUUCAAAAAUAGUAGGUUUUGUAAAAACAUUAUUUUAAAAAUGCAAUCUUUGGAAGAAAAAAUCUGAAAGAAUACUUAAAUAUCAACAAAAAUUCUUGUUAUCCUAAUUUCUAAGCGACAAUCCCAAAUCUACAAUAGUUCACUAUUUAAAUGAAAACAUUCCCAAAAUAUGAGUUUUAUUAAAAAUUAUUUUAAAAAUGCAACCUACUGAUGAAGUUUUUUGAAUGAAUACUUAUAUAUCAACGAAAAUUCUUGUUAUCCAAAUUUUUAAGUGACAAUCACAAAUCUACCAUUGUUGUCUAUGUAAAUAAAAACUUUUCAAAAAUAAGAGGAAUUUUAAAAAUUAUUUAAAAAAUGCAACCUAUUUAACAAUUAUGAAAGAAUACUCAUCUAUCAACGAAAAUUCUUGUUAUCCUAAUUUUAAAGUCACAAUCCCAAAUCUAUAAUAAUACUCUAUAAAAAUGAAAAUUUUCCAAAAAUAGCAAUUUUUAUAAAAAUUAUUGAAAAAUGUAACCAAUUGAUGGAAAAUUAUGAAAGAAUACUCAUCUAUCACAACAAAUUCUUGUUAUCCUUAUUUAUAAGCCACAAUCCCAAAUCUACAACAGUUCACAAUAAAAAUGAAAAAUUUCAAAAACUAGCAACUUUUGUAAAAAUUAUUUUAAAAAUGCAAUCUAUGGAAGAAAUAAUCUGAAAGAAUAUUUAUAUAUCAACAAAAAUUUUUUUUAUCCUAAUUUCUAAGUGACAAUCCCAAAUCUACAAUAGUUCUCUGUGUAAAUGAAAACUUUCCAAAAAUAGGAGGUUCUUAAAAAAUUAUUUGAAAAAUGCAACCUAUUGAUGAAAAAUUCUGAAAGAAUACUAAUCUAUUAACAAAAAUUCUUGAUAUACUAAUUUCUAAGUCACAAUCCUAAAUCUACAAUAGUUCUCUAUAAAAAUGAAAUUUUUCCAAAAUUAGCAGUUUUUGCAAAAACUAUUAAAAAAUGUAACUUAUUGAUGAAAAAUUAUGAAAGAAUACUCAUCUAUCAAAAACAAUUCUUGCUAUCCUUAUUUCUAAGUCACAAUAUCAAAUCUACAACAGUUCUCUAAAAAAUGAAAACUUUCCAAAAAUAGCACCUUUUGUAAAAAUUAUUUUAAAAAUGCAAUCUUUGGAAGAAAAAAAUCUGAAAGAAUACUCAUCUAUCAACAAAAAUUCUUGUUAUCCUAAUUUCUAAGUGACAAUUGACAAUAGUUCUCUAUGUAAAUGAAAACUUUCCAAAAAUAGGAGGUUAAAAAAAAAUUAUUUAAAAAAUGCAACCUAUUGAUGAACAAUUCUGAAAGAAUACUCAUCUA